UACGGAGGGGGCUAGCGUUGUUCGGAAUUACUGGGCGUAAAGCGCGCGUAGGCGGACCUGCAAGUCGGGGGUGAAAGCCCGAGGCUCAACCUCGGAACUGCCUUCGAUACUGCGGGUCUCGAGUCCGGGAGAGGUGAGUGGAAUUCCUAGUGUAGAGGUGAAAUUCGUAGAUAUUAGGAAGAACACCAGUGGCGAAGGGCGGCUCAGCUGGCCCGAUACUGACGCUGAGGCACGAAAGCGUGGGGAGCAAACAGG
rnacentral:rRNA from 1 species